rnacentral:lncRNA from 1 species
UACUGACUACUAGUUUAAUUCCAUAUGGUCUAAGGUCAGAUGUUGUAAGAUUUCUAUUCUCUGAAACUGGUUAAGAUCUGUUUUAUGGUUCAGAAUGUGGUCUAUCUUGGUGAAUAUUCCAUGUAAGCUUAAGAAGAUGUGCAAUCUACUUUUUGAUCCACUUCAACAAUCUGUCUUUUAAAUGGUAUAUUUAAACCUGAAGUUGGGAAUCUGCCUUCCUCCAGGUAGGUUCAACUAUGCCAAAUUUCAGUAGAUUAGUCUCUGGUAAAAUAGUUUCCUCUGAGUCCUUGUUAAAAAGAGUGCUCUGGCAUAUUUCAAAAUGACUCCUUUCCCCUUCUCCCUGCUGGAAGCACUAGAGGAUUUUUCUCUAAUAUUUGUUGUGAGAACCUGGUAAAACUUCUGGAAGGAAAAUUCACAAAAAUGUAGGCUUCCCCACAUGACUCAGUCCCCCUCAUAUUUUCAACUGUCAGAGUUUUCCAUGCUGAGCCUCCAGGAGUUCAUCAAUUACAGCUUGGAUAUCCCUGCUCGGUCACUGGUUCCUAGGGAGGUUUCUGCUCAUGGGUUUUUAUACCAGUACAUUGUGGUUCUCUGUAUCCAAAUAUCUGUAUCUCCAAUUUUUGGGGGCAGAAGUCUUCGCUGUGACCUCAUUUCUUUGACAGAUCGAAGAAGGUUUGAUUUUUGAGUUUGUUCAGAUUUUUUUUUUUCUUUGAGACGGAGUUUUGAUCUUGUUGCCCAGGCUGGAGUGCAGUGGUGCGAUCUUGGCUCACUGCAACCUCCACCUUCUGGGUUCAAGAGAUUCUCCUACCUCAGCCUCCUGAGAAGCUGGGAUAACAAGCAUGCACCACCACGCCCGGCUAAUUUUGUAUUUUUAGUAGAGACGGGGUUUCACCAUGUUGGUCAGGCUGGUCUCAAACUCCUGACCUCAGGUGAUCUGGCCGCCUCAGCUUCCCAAAGGGCUGCAAUUAUAGGCAUGAGCCACCACGUCCAGCCUGUUCAGCUUUUUAAUUGUUGUUAGGAUGAAGUGGAGAUGUCUAAAUUCCUUAUAUACCCAACUCUGACAACUUUAUUAGAAAAGUUUACCAUGAAAGGUGGCAGAGAAGCAUGGCAACAGUAAAGAAAGAUGUAGAGCCAAGAAAUUGUUUUUUAAUUGGGAAAUAUCAGAGCAGUUUUUAUGGUGAUGGAAAUUACCCAGCAGAGAGGGAGACAUUUAUGAUGCAGAAGAGAGAGAAUAUAAAAACAGGUGUUAAAUCAUCAAAGUCAGCAGAGAGUAAAUGCAGAACACAGAAGGACUGAGCAACCAAUGUUAAGAGCAGGAACAUCUCUUCCGUUGUGUCUUGCAACAACAGAGAACACAGGCGUACUGCUAACACAAAAAUACGGUGCUCAUGUCUCAUUCUAUUUUCUUAAUGAAGUAUGAAGUGAGAACAUUAUCUGUCUGGGAAGUAAGGAGAGUUUCAGAAGUAGAAAUAACACAGAGUUUCAGAGAGUGGGGCAAGCCAAUUUACUAGAAAAAGUUACCAGGCAACAGUAAAUGCCCAUUUCCAGUUUUUGUUCAGGAAUUUAAAGUUAGCUAACUGUAAUAUAUAAUAUUCUUCUGCAGUCUUGUUUGGCUGUUUGAGCAUAAGUGUGAAGAAAGUGAAGAGUAAGUGGGGGUUUGCUGAGUGCACACAACAGAGGAAGAGACUGCAAAGGGAUUGAGAGUAUUUGUAAGGCAGUGACUACCAUGACUGACCGUAAGGAGUAGGGUGACACAUCAUGAGAAAGAAGUAAGGUCAAUAGAUAAGUGACAUGAUGAGGUUGAAACAUAGUUGACUAAGCGAGUCCACGGUCAGUAGGUAGGGUUUAGAGAUUAGAAUGCUAAAAGGUGAUAUUUGUGAAGUUAUGCUACUGUUAGUGAUGACAAGAUCUGGAUUUGAAGCCAUUCAAAAUUUCUUACUGUAUGCAACAAAUUGCGUUUGCCUACCUAAAGCAGAAAAGGUUGAGUAGCAGAAACAACGCAGUCAGGAUGCUGACACUGCCACUGUAUACUGCUAGGGCCUAGACCACAACCAUGAAUCUCAUCCUCCACCCCUUUGUCUUUUAGUUGCCCCCUGUAAGAGUCAUAUGCCCAAGCAGGUGAAACCUAUUGUCUGAGCCCAGGUCAUGUGCUUUUCCUUGCUCAUUUUACCUAAGGGCAAAGAAAGUAAGGAUAUCCCUCAAUUUGGCUUCCGUUGUAGCAAAAGGGUUUGUGUCACCCCAAAGCUCACUCAGAUAGCAGAUUCCUUAAGACUAGGAAGGGGUCUAGACAGAUAUUGGCAGUAAAUUAUUUUUUAAGGUUAAAAAGUAAAAGAUAAAUGUCCUUUAAAAAAAAUCAUGGGAGUUUGUGAGGGACUAAGCUGAGAUCAAGGAGAUGACUGAAGAUAAGGAGGUCACCAUCAUGAGGCCAGGCACUGUUUUAAGUACUGGUAAGACAAAACUGAACAAAAAGAUCAAAUCCCUGCACUUUUGGAGUUUACCUUCUCAUAGGGGAUUGAGCCUCUUGGCUCUUUCCAACACCCUAUGCUUCUGCUAUUUCUUCAACUAUAAUAAGACAAUAAUAUAAUUUUAAGGAUCUCUCUUGCUUCAACUCUCCUGCUUGCUAAUCUCUGUAAUUCUUUCAGCACACCUCGAGCUCUUUUCAUUUACAAUAAUUAAUAAAAGGCUUAAGAUGCUAAAUACUUGCUUGAGGUAAAAAUAAGUAAACUUGUCUAUUCUAAGUUAUAUCUAAUAAGAAACAACAGUAGUAAAUAUACACAGUACUGAGCACUCUCCUACACUAUGCUCUUUUCUUUAUAUACCUUACUUAGCUAUCAAAACAAACCUAUAACAUAGGCACUAUUAUUAUUUGUAUUUUACAGAUAAGGUGACUAAGGCACAGAAGGGUUUAAGUAACUCAGGUAGGAGAUGGUGGGGCCAGGAAGUCUGGCUCUAGUAAUGACUUGAUUAUAACAGCCUUUCCUCUUUUAUUUUUAAACCAGAGAGGGGAUCUGAGAGCAGGUAAACACUAAAGGAAAAACAAGUCACCAACCUACAGAAAGGGACAGACUAGUCUGAAAGUGCCCAAAUGGAAGCUAUGAGUAUGUGUACAAUGCUUAGCAGGGAUAAUAUUGCUAAGAAUUAACACUGCUUUGCUUGUUUUAUAGUUUGGAGGAGACUUUGUUUGUUUUCAAUACCAGGAUCUAAAAGAAGAAAAGAAUAACAAGAAAGUUCUGGAGUAAAGUCCCUAAAUGAUGAGAAGAUAGGAGUACUGACAGUAUCAGUUUGGAGCAGAAUAUAAUAACUUUGGACCUUCCAGAUAACCUGAACAAGGUACACAACACCCCUUUUAGUAACCCAGCCACAACUUAGCAAGUUUUCUUCAGCUUCCUGGUUCAGGUUAGGAGAUUUGGGAGUUGUCCUAGUAAUCAGAGUAUAGUUGAGGACCAUUACUGUCCACAAGAAAAGUAAUUUUCAUGGGUAGGAUUUGGCAACUCUUCUUGCCAUCCCAUCCCUGUGUAAGAGACAAAAUAGCAAUUCCCUACAAUUUUACCUACUGCAGAAGCUAUAAAUGAAUUCCUAAGUACAUCCUGCAAAGAACUAAACCAAAGCUUGUUUUAUCACAGUGUAGAUGGCUUCCAGCUACCUUAAAUGCAGCCAUACGCUCCCUGAUAUUAUAAGUCCUAUUAUGCAAGCCUCCUCCCCAAUCUCAGAGGAGACUAGAAGACAUGCCACUGCUGUUGCUUCCCAUCCACAUUUUAAAAUAACAGAAUAAAAAAAAAAUCAGCUUCAAUUGGCUCCAGUUGGUGUGAAUACUGAGAUGCGGUUGUCAGAUUUCUGGAAAGCUGCCAGUAUGGUCAUUAACUAGCCAGAUACUAGGCCCACUUACAAACAGGAUAAUUAAUACAAUUUUAAAUAAUGUCAAUAUUAACGACAUUUUAAAUUUGGGACUUGGGGAUGGGAUGAAACAAUCUAUGAAUUA